CCAAGAUCCGGAUGUGAAUACAGAAAAAAAGAGUGCUUGUGUUCAAGUAUCAAUAUUUCAUUAAAAUUGAAUGAAAAAGAAGCAAAAAAUGUUCUUUUUGCAGAGAACUUGACUGAAUUUGACACUCUAUUGCAGAAUUUGAUAGUUUUCAAUGUAAAUAUUGGAAAAAUCAUAGCUUGUGGAAGUCUGAAAAUUAGUUGUUUGUAGCCGAUUGACUCCCUGGCGGAAGGGUUAUGUAUUUGAACUCAAUUUUGACAGUCGGGUCAAUGGUCAACAUGGUGUUUUCUUGUGAUUAUAUUUUGUGUCUUGAAUUGUUCUAAAGAUGCCAUGUCCUUGUUUUUCAAUUGGGGUGUGUAUAAAGUCAAAAGCCAGGUUAGUGUCUAUAUGAAACAUAUAGUAAAAAUAACUGUGGUCUCACGCCUGAUAUAGAGGAAGCUUUUGGAGGGGGUGGCAUAUUUUAAAUUGUUAUAAAUUCUUAAUUUAUACAGCUAUCUGGUUGAAAUUUGGCCAGUUGACAGUGCUUAGCCAUAGAAUAUUGGUGUUUGAGUAUGAAAUGUGAAAAUCUUAUAUUACAUAAUAUAAAUUAAUAAUAUAUAAUUUUCUUAUAUAUUUUUGACAUUUUUAAAAAAAACUACUUUCACUUUCAAUUUAAUGUUUGGAAAUAGUUCCAAAUGAUGGUAACUAAUGAAUGAAAGCCUCACUUUCAAUUCCAAAGUAUAAAUGGAGGGAUUUUUAAACAUAGGAAGCAGAACCAGGAGGAACUGUCUGUUGAAGAACCAGCCAGACAGCCCCCCCCCCCACCAAGCUGCCCACCAGAGGCCAAGCUGUACUUGGUGUUUGCCAACAUGCUGUAAUUUCCAGCCUGGUUGCUGUAGCCACAGAGGAAUUUUCAAGGACAAGAACCAGUGCUGGUAAAACUGUGGUCUCAUGUGGUUUUCCAUACCGGCUCUCGGCAAGGAUUUUCAAGAAAGGAAUACCAUCUCCAAAUCAUGAUGUGCCAAUAAGCUCCAGUUAGCUGUGGCCUUUUCCCCAGGCGGUAGUCCUGCAAUCUGAAUCCAGGAGAUGCAGCUCUGAAUCCAAUAUUUCAGAAGAAUGAAGAUGUUAGUCAACUCUGAAGUACUUGUUUGUGUGUAAAUGAUUCCAAUGAGUGAGAUUUAUAGCAAAUCAGGUGUAAAUAAGCAUCUUAUAGACAAUGGUGAAGUGCUGUACUCUGAAUUUAAUGCCAAAUCUAGCCUUCAAAACAGAUUCUUAAAGUAUUUUUUUUUUUAAAUGGGCAUAAUAAUGCUAUCUCUGCAUUUUCUACAUCAUGUAGCCACCUCAUACAUGAAAACACUAGCAGUUGUCAUGAAUUUUUAAGUUUUGGUGUGUUUUUUGCCAUUUCCUUUGUUGCGCCAUUUGUCCCGGAAGCCAACAAUUUGGCAUAUAGUGUUGUUUAGACAGUUUAUUAACACAUGAUCACUAAAUUUCUUGUGUUAAACUGAACAGUUCUGUUACCUUUGUAUAUAAGUGGACCAGAAAAGCAAAAUUUUGACAAGUUGAGGCAUUUCAGUUUGGCUCUAUGUCAUUUUUUAUAUAAAACACUAAGCCGAUGAAGUGGAAAAACCUUAUUUUGCUUAGAAAAAAAUCUUAAAAGAGUAGGCAGGCCAUUUUUGUGGUGCUGUUCUAUAGACACCAUUAAAAGCUACAAGGAAAACUUUACUUGGUCAAAUUAUUCCAAUGCAUAAGGAAAUAAUGGCUCUUCAAAGGUUUGCGGCUUAACAUUUGAGGGAAAUGGCUGUUUCUGCUUUUUAUGAAAAUACCACAGGUGCUAAUACUUGUCUCAUUCAUUUAGUGUUUGAUAUAUCAUUGCCAAACUUUCAGUAUGUGUUGCAUAUAGCCUGAAGCUGAACUAUAGGAGUUUUGAAGUCUGUUUCUGAAAAAAUGUUGCUUAAAUAGGCUCAAUACCACAGUUAUCUGCCCCCCGUUGACCAAGAUCCGGAUGUGAAUACAGAAAAAAGAGUGCUUGUGUUCAAGUAUCAAUAUUUCAUUAAAAUUGAAUG